rnacentral:lncRNA from 1 species
ACUGUGAUCACCGUCCAUGGCCGCCUGCGGAUACCCACGCCGUGCUCAGAAGAGGGCUCUGAGGCCACGCCCGCCUGUGGGGUCGGUGGCCGGGCUUCCGGGACCCCAGAGGGAGUCGUCGCGCGCUAGGUGGAGGGGACCCCUCUGGAAUCCGGCGAUCCCCGGGCGCAGAUGCAGGAGCGGGUGGGGAGAGCCGCGUUCCUGGCAUGUUUGCCUCGAGUUAGUCACGAAGGAAUCGAAGAGAGCCUUAGUCUUCGAGGCUUUUCCCUUCCUGUGAGCCCCUUUGAGGCCAGCACAUUGAUUUUUUUUUCUUUCGCAGAACAAUUUCGGACCUCCUGGGGUCUAUGCUAGGUAUGAGGUGUAUCUUUGCCCUCCAUCAAGUAGCAAAGAUGGACAUGUAAACAAAUUUCGACACUGUGAUGACUGCCACAAAAAGCAGCAUUAUGAGGUUGAAUGUAAAAGGAUAACCUUAGCGGCGGCGGGGGCCGGAGGAUGAAGGAAGGCUUCCUGAGGUAGGCGCUGGUUGAAACUGAAGUUGGAGAGAGCAAGUGGCAUUUGCUGAAGUGCAUUUCCGGUAGAAAACUCCAGUGGUCCCUCACCUGACUGAGUGGCGCAGUCAGAGAUAAAUGGAACAGGUACACUGACCAGAAAGGGCAAGAUGGGCUAAACUUCGCCGUUGGGCCACUGGGCUCCCCCGCAGGAUUUUAAAGAGCUAGCCAGUAGAUGGAUUUUGUUUUUGUUAUUUUCGCAAUUUAUUUUCAAAUAUGUAAUACGCGAACUUGGUACAACAUUCAUGUGAUAAAAAGGUAGAUACGUGGGCAGGACGCGGUGGCUCACGCCUGUAAUCCCAGCAUUUUGGGAGGCCGAGAUGGGCGGAUCAUUUGCUGUCAGGAGUUCGAGACCAGCCUGGCCAACAUGAGUCUACAAAUAAACAUUUUAUAAAGAUGAUCCUUCAAUACAUAUUCUACAGCCCAGUUAAAAUGUGAGAGGCCAUGAUCUACAGACAGCCAUUUAUAAAGGUGGAUCAGGGCCGGACACGGUGGCUCAACGUCUGUAAUCCCGGCACUGUGGGAGGCCAAAGCGGGAGGAUCGCUUGAGCCCAGGAGUUCGAGACCAACCUGGCCAACAUGGUGAGACCCCAUCUUUACAAAAAAAUAUAUAUAUCCAGGCAUAGUGGUGUGCACCUGUGGUCCUGUGGUCCCAGCUACUCAGGAAGCUGAGGCAGUUGAGGCUGCAGUGAGCCACGUUCUGGCCACUACACUCCAGCCUGGGCAUCAAAGUGACAAGACCAAAAAAAAAAAAAA